UUCCCCUUCAGACUGGGCCAACCAUGGGCUGGGGGGACUGGGGACACCCGUGUCCCUCCCCCAGCCCCACAGGGGCCAAUCCUGCUUAAACCUUUGCUCUCCUUCCCCAGCCGAUCGCGGGACAAGGAGGAGGUGGAUGUGUUGGGGGAGGCAUGAAUGUCCAUCGAGUGAAGAGGUCUGAGCCCCCCGUGGCUGACUUGGUGGAGUUGCUGCGCGAAUGACGCUCGGCUGCCUCUCUGCAUGUCCAGG